rnacentral:tRNA from 1 species
GGCAGUGUGUCCGAGCGGUCCAAGGAGUUGGAUUUAAGUUCCCAAUAGGCGUGAGCCUGCGCGAGUUCGAACCUCGCCACUGUCA